rnacentral:tRNA from 1 species
GGUUAAAAAGCUAAAAGCCCAGCAUGUGUCUUGAAAUCACAAGAAAGGAGUUAAAUUCUCCUAGUAACCU